rnacentral:rRNA from 1 species
UGUAGGUGCUGUGCCUAAUACAUGCAAGUCGAGCGAAUGGAUUAAGAGCUUGCUCUUAUGAAGUUAGCGGCGGACGGGUGAGUAACACGUGGGUAACCUGCCCAUAAGACUGGGAUAACUCCGGGAAACCGGGGCUAAUACCGGAUAACAUUUUGAACCGCAUGGUUCGAAAUUGAAAGGCGGCUUCGGCUGUCACUUAUGGAUGGACCCGCGUCGCAUUAGCUAGUUGGUGAGGUAACGGCUCACCAAGGCAACGAUGCGUAGCCGACCUGAGAGGGUGAUCGGCCACACUGGGACUGAGACACGGCCCAGACUCCUACGGGAGGCAGCAGUAGGGAAUCUUCCGCAAUGGACGAAAGUCUGACGGAGCAACGCCGCGUGAGUGAUGAAGGCUUUCGGGUCGUAAAACUCUGUUGUUAGGGAAGAACAAGUGCUAGUUGAAUAAGCUGGCACCUUGACGGUACCUAACCAGAAAGCCACGGCUAACUACGUGCCAGCAGCCGCGGUAAUACGUAGGUGGCAAGCGUUAUCCGGAAUUAUUGGGCGUAAAGCGCGCGCAGGUGGUUUCUUAAGUCUGAUGUGAAAGCCCACGGCUCAUCCGUGGAGGGUCAUUGGAAACUGGGAGACUUGAGUGCAGAAGAGGAAAGUGGAAUUCCAUGUGUAGCGGUGAAAUGCGUAGAGAUAUGGAGGAACACCAGUGGCUAAGGCGACUUUCUGGUCUGUAACUGACACUGAGGCGCGAAAGCGUGGGG